rnacentral:rRNA from 1 species
AUUGAACGCUGGCGGCAGGCCUAACACAUGCAAGUCGAACGGUAACAGGAAGCAGCUUGCUGCUUCGCUGACGAGUGGCGGACGGGUGAGUAAUGUCUGGGAAGCUGCCUGAUGGAGGGGGAUAACUACUGGAAACGGUAGCUAAUACCGCAUAAUGUCGCAAGACCAAAGAGGGGGACCUUCGGGCCUCUUGCCAUCGGAUGUGCCCAGAUGGGAUUAGCUUGUUGGUGGGGUAACGGCUCACCAAGGCGACGAUCCCUAGCUGGUCUGAGAGGAUGACCAGCCACACUGGAACUGAGACACGGUCCAGACUCCUACGGGAGGCAGCAGUGGGGAAUAUUGCACAAUGGGCGCAAGCCUGAUGCAGCCAUGCCGCGUGUAUGAAGAAGGCCUUCGGGUUGUAAAGUACUUUCAGCGGGGAGGAAGGGAGUAAAGUUAAUACCUAUGCUCAUUGACGUUACCCGCAGAAGAAGCACCGGCUAACUCCGUG